GAUGAACGCUGGCGGCGUGCCUAAUACAUGCAAGUCGAGCGAACAGAUAAGGAGCUUGCUCCUUUGACGUUAGCGGCGGACGGGUGAGUAACACGUGGGUAACCUACCUAUAAGACUGGGAUAACUUCGGGAAACCGGAGAUAAUACCGGAUAACAUUUGGAACCGCAUGGUUCUAAAGUGAAAGAUGGUUUUGCUAUCACUUAUAGAUGGACCCGCGCCGUAUUAGCUAGUUGGUAAGGUAACGGCUUACCAAGGCGACGAUACGUAGCCGAACUGAGAGGGUGAUCGGCCACACUGGAACGGAGACACGGUCCAGACUCCUACGGGAGGCACCAGUAGGGAAUCUUCCGCAAUGGGCGAAAGCCUUACGGAGCAACGCCGCGUGAGUGAUGAAGGGUUUCGGCUCGUAAAACUCGGUUAUUGGGGAAGAACAAACGUGUAAGUAACUGUGCACGUCUUGACGGUACCUAAUCAGAAAGCCACGGCUAACUACGUG
rnacentral:rRNA from 1 species